rnacentral:rRNA from 1 species
UACGUAGGGGGCUAGCGUUGCUCGGAAUCACUGGGCGUAAAGGGCGCGUAGGCGGCCAUUUAAGUCGGGGGUGAAAGCCUGUGGCUCAACCACAGAAUUGCCUUCGAUACUGGAUGGCUUGAGACCGGAAGAGGUAAGUGGAACUGCGAGUGUAGAGGUGAAAUUCGUAGAUAUUCGCAGGAACACCAGUGGCGAAGGCGGCUUACUGGUCCGGAUCUGACGCUGAGGCGCGAAAGCGUGGGGAGCAAACAGG